rnacentral:rRNA from 1 species
GAUCAUGGCUCAGGACGAACGCUAGCGGCGUGCCUAAUACAUGCAAGUCGAGCGAAGUUUUUCUGGUGCUUGCACCGGAAAAACUUAGCGGCGAACGGGUGAGUAACACGUAAAGAACCUGCCUCAUAGACUGGGACAACUAUUGGAAACGAUAGCUAAUACCGGAUAACAGCAUUAACUGCACGGUUGAUGUUUGAAAGUUGGUUUUGCUAACACUAUGAGAUGGCUUUGCGGUGCAUUAG